AUUGAACGCUGGCGGCAUGCUUUACACAUGCAAGUCGAACGGUAACAGGCCGCAAGGUGCUGACGAGUGGCGAACGGGUGAGUAAUGCAUCGGAACGUGCCCAGUCGUGGGGGAUAACGCAGCGAAAGCUGCGCUAAUACCGCAUACGAUCUAUGGAUGAAAGCGGGGGACCUGCAAGGGCCUCGCGCGAUUGGAGCGGCCGAUGUCAGAUUAGGUAGUUGGUGGGGUAAAGGCUCACCAAGCCGACGAUCUGUAGCUGGUCUGAGAGGACGACCAGCCACACUGGGACUGAGACACGGCCCAGACUCCUACGGGAGUCAGCAGUGGGGAAUUUUGGACAAUGGGCGCAAGCCUGAUCCAGCAAUGCCGCGUGCAGGAAGAAGGCCUUCGGGUUGUAAACUGCUUUUGUACGGAACGAAACGGCUCUGGUUAAUACCUGGGGCUAAUGACGGUACCGUAAGAAUAAGCACCGGCUAACUACGUGCCAGCCGCCGCCGUAACAC
rnacentral:rRNA from 1 species